AUACUUACCUGUCCGGCCUGCGACCUCGAGCAAGAAGGGGGUCUAGGUAGUGCUUGUACCUCGCCUUGUACUAUGCUUGGGGUAGCGCUGUGUGCGGGGCAAGUCCUCGUUACAACGGAAUAAUUUCUGGCAGGCCGUUGCACGCGCUUGCGCGUCCUCGGC
rnacentral:snRNA from 14 species